AUCGCUUCUCUGCCUUUUGCCUAAGAUCAAGUGUAGUAUCUGUUCUUAUCACUUUAAUAUCUGAUACGUCCUCUAUCUGAGGACUAUAUAUUAAAUGGAUUUUUGGAGCCUGGAGUUGGAAUAGGAGCUUGCUCCGUCCACUCCGUGCAUCGACCUGGUAAUUGCAAUACCUCCAGGAAUGGUGCACCAUAA